CCUACGGGGUGCAGCAGUGAGGAAUAUUGGUCAAUGGACGAGAGUCUGAACCAGCCAAGUAGCGUGAAGGAUGACUGCCCUAUGGGUUGUAAACUUCUUUUAUAUGGGAAUAAAAUGUUCCACGUGUGGGAUUUUGUAUGUACCAUAUGAAUAAGGAUCGGCUAACUCCGUGCCAGCAGCCGCGGUAAUGCGGAGGAUCCGAGCGUUAUCCGGAUUUAUUGGGUUUAAAGGGAGCGUAGGUGGAUUGUUAAGUCAGUUGUGAAAGUUUGCGGCUCAACCGUAAAAUUGCAGUUGAAACUGGCAGUCUUGAGUACAGUAGAGGUGGGCGGAAUUCGUGGUGUAGCGGUGAAAUGCUUAGAUAUCACGAAGAACUCCGAUUGCGAAGGCAGUUCACUGGACUGCAACUGACACUGAGGCUCGAAAGUGUGGGUAUCAAACAGGAUUAGAUACCCCAGUAGUC
rnacentral:rRNA from 1 species